CAGGUGUCAGAUUUCGUUCAGUCCCUCCCCGGUUGUGAAAAACAGGCGAAACAGUUCAGAGAUGAGCAAAUUGAUGGGCGGGCCUUCCUCCUGCUCACUCAACGUGACAUUGUGAGGAUCAUGUCAAUCAAACUUGGUCCCGCGCUCAAGAUUUACAACUCAAUCCUCAUGUUCAAACACAUCACAAGCCAAUCACACACUGAGGACAUGUCCCAAUCACACACUGAGGACAUGAGCCAAUCACACACUGAGGACAUGAGCCAAUCACACACUGAGGACAUGAGCCAAUCACACACUGAGGACACCCUCAGGUAACAAUGAUGAGUCAAGCUGGAAACACCUGAUACUUGACUCCACCUCCACUCCUCCAUCCAAUCAUCAAGCAGAUAUCACUGUGAUUUCACAACAAUGAUCUCAGGUGUGUUCCUGUCAAUUGUGACGUUCACGUUCUUCGUACAUGAGUAAAAGAACUAUUGUGCAUAUUAUCUCAUUUUUUUAAUCACGAGGUCCGAGGAUGUUUAUACAAGUACAAACCGAGAGUUUGUCUUUUAACAUUUACGGAUGAACGGAGAAGAAAACGCAUCUGAAUUCUUCCAUGUUUGUGACCUGGGGACGUUUUGCAGCACUGGAUGAAAUCGGACCAAAUUUCUAACCAGCAUGCAUUGUGGUAGGACCAGCAUGCAUCACGUAAAGGUAUAUAUUGAAAGGUGUGAGUGGUGUCGUUAGUUUUCAUCAAUAUAGAGAAGUGAUUGUUUUCUACUGUUUCUAUAGAGUUCUAUUUUAAAGUUUCUUUAUAAAAAUAUAUAUUUGUAUCUCUGACAGGAAGUUCACUCACGUCUGUGAUGUAAGAGCUGGGGGCGGGGCUUCUGUUUCCCUCAGGUUUCCAUGAUAACAGCUGACAGAGUUUAACUGUGAUGUGUUUCUGUCACUGUUUGAUAGAUCAAUAAAGAUUCUGAUCUGA